rnacentral:pre_miRNA from 1 species
CACCGGUGCACUGCGGAGAUGCAUUACCCGCGAAAGCGAGCUCCGCGGGUAAUGCUUCUGUGCAUUGUAUCGGUG